rnacentral:rRNA from 1 species
CAGCCGCCGCGGGAAUACGUAGGGUGCGAGCGCUAAUCGGAAUUACUGGGCGUAAAGCGUGCGCAGGCGGUUCGUUAAGACAGAUGUGAAAUCCCCGGGCUUAACCUGGGAACUGCAUUUGUGACUGGCGAGCUAGAGUAUGGCAGAGGGGGGUAGAAUUCCACGUGUAGCAGUGAAAUGCGUAGAGAUGUGGAGGAAUACCGAUGGCGAAGGCAGCCCCCUGGGCCAAUACUGACGCUCAUGCACGAAAGCGUGGGGAGCAAACAGGAUUAGAUACCCCAGUAGUCCCUGUCUCUUAUAC